CGCGAGCAGGUUGCGGUGCGAGUGCAGCGCGCCCUUGGGGCGGCCGCUGGUGCCGGACGUGUACAGGAUCACCGACGGAUCGUCCUCGUCGACCGCGAC
rnacentral:tRNA from 2 species